rnacentral:rRNA from 1 species
GAUCCUGGCUCAGGAUGAACGCUAGCUACAGGCUUAACACAUGCAAGUCGAGGGGAAACGACAUCGAAAGCUUGCUUUUGAUGGGCGUCGACCGGCGCACGGGUGAGUAACGCGUAUCCAACCUGCCCACCACUUGGGGAUAACCUUGCGAAAGUAAGACUAAUACCCAAUGACGUCUCUAGAAGACAUCUGAAAGAGAUUAAAGAUUUAUCGGUGAUGGAUGGGGAUGCGUCUGAUUAGCUUGUUGGCGGGGUAACGGCCCACCAAGGCAACGAUCAGUAGGGGUUCUGAGAGGAAGGUCCCCCACAUUGGAGCUGAGACACGGUCCAAACUCCUACGGGAGGCAGCAGUGAGGAAUAUUGGUCAAUGGGCGAGAGCCUGAACCAGCCAAGUAGCGUGCAGGACGACGGCCCUAUGGGUUGUAAACUGCUUUUAUAAGGGAAUAAAGUGAGUCUCGUGAGACUUUUUGCAUGUACCUUAUGAAUAAGGACCGGCUAAUUCCGUG